GUGCUCGCUUUGACAGCACAUACACUAAACAAUUGUAACAAUACACAGAAGAUUAGUAUGGCCUCUGCACAAGGAUGACAUGCAAAUUUGUGAAGCAUUCCAUAAGAAA